AGAGUUUGAUCAUGGCUCAGGUAGCCGUAAGUCGUAACAAGGUAACCGUAAGUCGUAACAAGGUAACCGUAAGUCGUAACAAGGUAACCGUAGAGUUUGAUCAUGGCUCAGGAUAAGUCGUAACAGGUAGCCGUAAGUCGUAACAAGGUAGCCGUAAGUCGUAACAGGUAGCCGUAAGUCGUAACAAGGUAACCGUAGAGUUUGAUCAUGGCUCAGAUUGAACGCUGGCGGCAGGCCUAACACAUGCAAGUCGAGCGGAUGAAGGGAGCUUGCUCUCUGAUUCAGCGGCGGACGGGUGAGUAAUGCCUAGGAAUCUGCCUAUUAGUGGGGGACAACGUUUCGAAAGGAACGCUAAUACCGCAUACGUCCUACGGGAGAAAGCAGGGGACCUUCGGGCCUUGCGCUAAUAGAUGAGCCUAGGUCGGAUUAGCUAGUUGGUGAGGUAAAGGCUCACCAAGGCAACGAUACGUAACUGGUCUGAGAGGAUGAUCAGUCACACUGGAACUGAGACACGGUCCAGACUCCUACGGGAGGCAGCAGUGGGGAAUAUUGGACAAUGGGCGAAAGCCUGAUCCAGCCAUGCCGCGUGUGUGAAGAAGGUCUUCGGAUUGUAAAGCACUUUAAGUUGGGAGGAAGGGCAGUAAGUUAAUACCUUGCUGUUUUGACGUUACCGACAGAAUAAGCACCGGCUAACUUCGUGCCAGCAGCCGCGGUAAUACGAAGGGUGCAAGCGUUAAUCGGAAUUACUGGGGCGUAAAGCGCGCGUAGGUGGUUCGUUAAGUUGGAUGUGAAAGCCCCGGGCUCAACCUGGGAACUGCAUCCAAAACUGGCGAGCUAGAGUAUGGCAGAGGGUGGUGGAAUUUCCUGUGUAGCGGUGAAAUGCGUAGAUAUAGGAAGGAACA
rnacentral:rRNA from 1 species